AGCAGUUUUCCUUUUUCUUUGUCUCAAGCAAUUAAUUCUACUCAACACAUUUUAACUUUUGAUUUCAAGUCAGAUGUUCCUUUUAGCAUCAUUUUUGUUUAUUCCAAAGAACCUUAAGUUAUAAUUAUCAGUGGGUUCAGUGGUGAUCAUCCCCCAAACUUUACAGGGUAAGGAGGACUCUGAAAAGCUAGGCAUAUAGUUAGAUUUUAUUAAUAGCCAUGUCUUGGAGGCACUGAGACACUUCUUUCCAAGCAUGGGGAAUCCCUUAUAAAGAAAAUUGUCACUUCCGAGUAAUAAUUGCUCUUGAUUUUUAUAAUUCUAGAUCUAGAGUAAAGCUGGAAAUGUGUCUGAAAAAGUUGUCAGUGGAUUAAAAAAAAAACCUGUUGCUCAAUAAAUAAAUAAAAAUUCUGUUUACACUGUGGAGUCACAUUGCAGUCAUUGCUAGAAAGUGACUGUAGCCUUUGUUUUAAUAAAAUACACCAGGUAAGUCCCUGAGGCUGUCUGCCAGCAAAAAGGGGGUGUGUCUGAGUAGAGAGGGCAGGGGCAAUUUCCAGAAAGAACACUGUUUACAGGAAGAGCCUGCUUUCUAAGAACCCUUGCUCCCAGUGAGUCUUAGGGAGUGAGCCAAUCCUGUGUGUGCACACACAGGUGUGUGUGUUUGUAUGUGGAGGACUGUGUGUGCACAUGUAUGUGAGCACAUCCUCGUGUGUCUGUGCAGGUGUGUGCACGUUGUGGGCUCGCGCACGGUUGUGUGCACGUGUGCCUCUGAGCGCGUGCGUCCGCAGGUGAUGGUGGUGAGUGGACAGAGAGAGGGACCCAAGCUCUCUCUUAUUAUGCUUUUCUUUGGUGCACAGUAACCUCUCCAGCUGCAAAGUGAAUGACGUCUAGUGCGAUGCUUUUUCUAAAGCCUAAUCAGUUCCCACAGUCACAGAAUUAGAGGGAAAGAAAGGAAGAAAAAAGAAGAUAGAUGGGUUUGGCAGAAGGGCUGCUGGCUCUUCCUGGAAUCGCGUUUUCCUGGUGCUUGCUUUGGCUCCCGGCCACCAGCUGGCCUGUGGCGGGAGCAGAGUCCACCAUGAAGAGUGGACUUCGCAGCAGAUGCUGCUGGUGUCCUGUCUCCUCUCCUCUGCAGGCACGGUCCCGUGGACUCCCAGGGUCUGGCUCCGCCCUUGGAGCUGAUGACCCUGGAAGCCCGCUUUCCAGCAGGAAUUGUGGGGGGAAAGCCCAGCCUCUUUGGCCGCGGAGGGGGACAGCUCUGAGGCUUGUGUCUGCAGCCACCAGAGGCUCCAGCAGGCCAGAGCCUCAAGUGCUUACGGUCAAAGCUGGCUUAUCGACGCGGUGUAUUCUAGCUUGCUUCUCGCCUUCCACCCCCUCGGGCUCCUACCCUCCGCUCCUCACAUUCAAAUCCUUAUCUGCCAGCACCAGGCGAGCAAGCUCCUAGGUGUUCAAGUCGCCAGGUAAAUGGUUCCAUCAGGGACACUGCGCUCCAAGAGGAUGUCCUGCCUUCUCCCUGCAUCUUGUCUGGCCAAAGGCAAAACAAACCAGCGGCCCGAAACAAGCCGGAGCAACAACAAUAAGAAAACCAGUGUCACCUGUUAUGUUUCCCACAGUGGACUUAUCGUCAUUGUCUGGAUUGGGCUUUGCAACGUAUUAGUUUUGAUGUGGCUGGCUUCCAAAACUCGGUUCCAGGCAGGAUUCCAGCCAUCCUGCCUACUAAUUCUUAACGGGCAGUUUGCACGAGCUUCGUGAUUCUUGACAUCACGCCCAAGCCCGCUGGGCCAGGACAAAAAGGGGGUUCUUCCGUGAGGCGUCCGGAAUUACUUGCAGCCCCCCUUCCCCACCCGUACCCCGACCUGGUUCUGGUGAACCGCUUCUCAUUUUGCACGUGCAAUUAUUUUCUCUCUGUCCGUAUCAAUACUCUGUGCUGAUAAAGAUUAAAAGGGGCAAAACAGAGCUUGAGAGCUUUACAACUCCUACCGGAGUAGCAAUGUAUUUUCCUAUCUGUCCGUUUGAUUGGAAAUUUAAAUCAUCUCACAUUUUAGGAAAUUGGUAGCCUCAGAAGAUACGGAAUCUGACAGUUUAUGGCUCAAUCUGCGCCUUGCUGUCUUUAAAGGAAAGCUAGUAAAAAUUGAAAUUAAGGAAAACAAAUAAAUACCAUAGUCCUCUGAUGGUGCAUUUUAUAAUGAUCACAUCUGCUGCAAAGCGCCUGAAAAAUGGCUCUGGACGGCUGCCGGAGCUGCAGAAUGGCUCACGCGGUGAAGAGGAGCGGAGCAGGAGAGGAUCUGGGAUAA
rnacentral:lncRNA from 1 species